rnacentral:rRNA from 1 species
GACGAACGCUGGCGGCGUGCUUAACACAUGCAAGUCGAACGGAAAGGCCCUGCUUUUGUGGGGUGCUCGAGUGGCGAACGGGUGAGUAACACGUGAGUAACCUGCCCUUGACUUUGGUAUAACUUCAGGAAACUGGGGCUAAUACCGGAUAGGAGCUCCUGCUGCAUGGUGGGGGUUGGAAAGUUUCGGCGGUUGGGGAUGGACUCGCGGCUUAUCAGCUUGUUGGUGGGGUAGUGGCUUACCAAGGCUUUGACGGGUAGCCGGCCUGAGAGGGUGACCGGCCACAUUGGGACUGAGAUACGGCCCAGACUCCUACGGGAGGCAGAAGUGGGGAAUAUUGCACAAUGGGCGGAAGCCUGAUGAAGCAACGCCGCGUGCGGGAUGACGGCCUUCGGGUUGUAAACCGCUUUCGCCUGUGACGAAGGGUGAGUGACGGUAAUGGGUAAAGAAGCACCGGCUAACUACGUG